UCUUCUCUCUUUCUUCGUGCCUAAUACAUGCAAGUCGAGCGAACAGACGAGGAGCUUGCUCCUCUGACGUUAGCGGCGGACGGGUGAGUAACACGUGGAUAACCUACCUAUAAGACUGGGAUAACUUCGGGAAACCGGAGCUAAUACCGGAUAAUCUAUUGAACCGCAUGGUUCAAUAGUGAAAGACGGUUUUGCUGUCCCUUAUAGAUGGAUCCGCGCCGCAUUAGCUAGUUGGUAAGGUAACGGCUUACCAAGGCAACGAUGCGUAGCCGACCUGAGAGGGUGAUCGGCCACACUGGAACUUAGACACGGUCCAGACUCCUACGGGAGGCAGCAGUAGGGAAUCUUCCGCAAUGGGCGAAAGCCUGACGGAGCAACGCCGCGUGAGUGAUGAAGGUCUUCGGAUCGUAAAACUCUGUUAUUAGGGAAGAACAAAUGUGUAAGUAACUAUGCACGUCUUGACGGUACCUAAUCAGAAAGCCACGGCUAACUACGUG
rnacentral:rRNA from 1 species